rnacentral:rRNA from 1 species
UACGUAGGGCGCAAGCGUUGUCCGGAAUUAUUGGGCGUAAAGAGCUCGUAGGCGGUUUGUCGCGUCUGCUGUGAAAACUCGGGGCUUAACCCCGAGCCUGCUUCCGAUACGGGCAGACUAGAGGUAGGCAGGGGAGAGCGGAACUCCUGGUGUAGCGGUGGAAUGCGCAGAUAUCAGGAGGAACACCGAUGGCGAAGGCAGGUCUCUGGGCAUUAACUGACGCUGAGGAGCGAAAGCAUGGGGAGCGAACAGG